rnacentral:rRNA from 1 species
GGACCCGCACAAGUAGUGGAGCAUGUGGUUUAAUUCGAAGAUACGCGCAGAACCUUACCAACACUUGACAUGUUCGUCGCGACUCUAAGAGAUUAGAGUUUUCGGUUCGGCCGGACGAAACACAGGUGCUGCAUGGCUGUCGUCAGCUCGUGUCGUGAGAUGUUGGGUUAAGUCCCGCAACGAGCGCAACCCUCACUUUUAGUUGCCAUCAUUAAGUUGGGCACUCUGAAAGAACUGCCAGUGAUAAGCUGGAGGAAGGUGGGGAUGACGUCAAGUCCUCAUGGCCCUUACGUGUUGGGCUACACACGUGCUACAAUGGUAUUUACAACAGGAAGCAAGACGGCGACGUUAAGCAAAUCCUUAAAAAAUACCUCAGUUCGGAUUGCACUCUGCAACUCGAGUGCAUGAAGCUGGAAUU